CUGAAUCAUUCCAGGCGCCAUGAUGGACAUCAGAAGUGAGGGACCCAUAAAACAUCGAAGAAGAACAGGAUGGAGGGCAGUACUUCAACCAUCUACUGAGAUAUCCCUGAACUGGAAACCGCAGCCUUUGCUCUGCUCUAGGUGAAGUCUUGGUGGACUGGUACGUUGACUUUGACUGGAUCAGAGAGCCUUCAAUAACCAUGGAUGUUAAGGCUUUACCCUCAUUAACCUCAGUCAUCACUGCUUCCUGUCAGCCAGCCCCAGACUUGGCUCUGGCACACACACUUGGGUCAGAGCUAAUCCAAAUUCCACCCAAUCUUAGUGAAAUCUGCACAGCAGAGCCCACUGAAUGCAAAACACGAGAGAAACUAGAACACUGAAAAAAAUGAUUUCUCUUAAUGUGUGUUUGUGUGAGAAGGA